rnacentral:rRNA from 1 species
AGGGCACCACCAGGAGUGGAGCCUGCAGCUUAAUUUGACUCAACACGGGAAAACUCACCCGGCCCGGACACUGAAAGGAUUGACAGAUUGAGAGCUCUUUCUUGAUUCAGUGGGUGGUGGUGCAUGGCCGUUCUUAGUUGGUGGAGCGAUUUGUCUGGUUAAUUCCGAUAACGAACGAGACUCUAGCCUACUAAAUAGAUCGCCGGUUUACAAACACCGGUGAGACUUCUUAGAGGGACAGGCGGCGAUUCAGCCGCACGAAACAGAGCAAUAACAGGUCUGUGAUGCCCUUAGAUGUCCGGGGCCGCACGCGCGCUACACUGAAGUGAUCAGCGUGCAUUUUAAGCCUACUCUGCCAAGAGUGGGAAACCCAAUGAACCUUCUUCGUGAUUGGGAUAGGGGAUUGUAAUUAUUCCCCCUGAACGAGGAAUUCCCAGUAAGCGCGAGUCAUAAGCUCGCGUUGAUUACGUCCCUGCCCUUUGUACACACCGCCCGUCGCUACUACCGAUUGAAUGUUUU